rnacentral:tRNA from 1 species
GCGCGAGUGGCGGAAUUGGUAGACGCGUCAGCUUGAGGGGCUGGUGAGUAUUGCACUCGUGGAGGUUCAAGUCCUCUCUCGCGCACCA